CGCCCAACAGCUAGCCCACCCACCCAACUUCAACACCCCCAUAUCACUACCCCCUAAAACCCCACCCACCCACAUUAAAUCAUUUUCCCCCCCUAGUAUGGGAGACAGAAAAGGUUCCAGGAGCAAUAGAGACAGUACCGCAAGGGAACGCUGAAAGAGGAGUGAAACAACCCAGAAUAAGCCCUAAAAAGCAGAGACUUUCCCUCGUACCUUUUGCAUCAUGAUUUAGCCAGAAAGCCCCAAGCAAAAAGCAUUUUAGUUUGAAUCCCCGAAACUAGGUGAGCUACUCCGAGACAGCCUAACAUAUAGGGCAACCCCGUCUCUGUGGCAAAAGAGUGGUAAGAGCUCUGAGUAGAGGGGAUAAGCCUACCGAACCUAGUAAUAGCUGGUUGCCUGUGACUUGAACAGAAGUUCAGCCUUUUAAAUUCUUCCCUCAAAAAGGACAACCCCCACAGAUAAAAAGAAGUUAAAAGAGUAAGUCAAAGAGGGUACAGCCCCUUUGAAACAGACACAACUUUUAAAGGCGGAUAUAGAUCAUAACUACUAAGGCAAAUGUUCAGGUGGGCCUAAAAGCAGCCACCCCUUUGAAAAGCGUUAAAGCUUAAGCACACAUGUCCCCCUAAAUACGGAUAAACCAAUCUUAAUCCCCUGCCCCUAUCGGGCCGCUCCAUGCCAACAUGGAAGAGAACCUGCUAAAAUGAGUAAUAAGGGAGCACCCUCCCUCACAGCACACACAUAACUCGGAGCGGACCCCCCACCGAACAUUAACGGCCCCAAAUAAAGAGGGUAGUGUAUAAUCAAAUAAAUAACAAGAAAACCAUACAACCAAACACCGUUAACCCCACACUGGUGUGCUAGCAACGAAAGACUAAAAGAGAAAGAAGGAACUCGGCAAACACCCCCGGCCCCGCCUGUUUACCAAAAACAUCGCCUUUUGAGCUAAUAUAAAAGGUCCCGCCUGCCCUGUGACCACUAGUUUAACGGCCGCGGUAUUUUGACCGUGCAAAGGUAGCGCAAUCACUUGUCUUUUAAAUGAAGACCCGUAUGAACGGCAUAACGAGGGCUUAACUGUCUCCUCUCUCCGGUCAAUGAAAUUGAUCUCCCCGUGCAGAAGCGGGGAUAAUUACGUAAGACGAGAAGACCCUGUGGAGCUUUAGGCACCAGAGCAGCCCGUACUGGUAAUUUUCAAAAACAAAACUAACCCAACGACCCCCUGCCCUCCGUCUUUGGUUGGGGUGACCACGGGGAAAUAAAAAACCCCCGAGCGGACUAGGAUAACUUAUCCCACAAAAAAGAGCCCCAGCUCUAUCUAACAGAAUUUCUGACCUUUCAGAUCCGGCAAAGCCGAUUAACGAACCGAGUUACCCCAGGGAUAACAGCGCAAUCCCCUUUUAGAGUCCCUAUCGACAAGGGGGUUUACGACCUCGAUGUUGGAUCAGGACAUCCUAGUGGUGCAACCGCUAUUAAGGGUUCGUUUGUUCAACGAUUAAAGUCCU
rnacentral:rRNA from 1 species